rnacentral:lncRNA from 1 species
GCCGUGUCAAACUGAAUCCCUUGGGAUAAGGGGUUUCCUCUUGGGCAAAGGAAAUAGUAAGGGAAGUUAUACCCUGCAAUAUUAGUCUUACACUAUAAAAAUGGCACACCCAUGUGGGAACUGUUCAAAACACUGCACUCGAAUGUGUGUGUUUUGUGAAAAAUGUGAAACAUGAUUUCACCAAAAAUGCCAGAAAUUAACAAAAGAUCAGUUUCGGAUCGUAAGUCAGACUAAAAGCUGUGAUUUCAUAUGUACACAAUGUUGUCAUACAAAAGAUCAUAAAUUUGACUAUGAUCUUUCUAUUAGGCCAAAAUAAAUAAAUAGUGUGUUUCCUAUUUCACCCCCCAAAAAAUUAGGUAGGGUAGGUAGGUAAAACAUUUUAUUUUAUGAAAACUUUUUAUUUUUUUCUAUCGAUGACAGCAGCAAAAAGAUUCCAAAUGAAAUCAUUUGAUGUGCCAGCAUGCUUUUUUGAUAGUUAUAAUAGUACUUAAUUAAAUCUACAGGUUUUU